AGCGAACGCUGGCGGCAGGCUUAACACAUGCAAGUCGAACGCCCGGGCAACCGGGAGUGGCAGACGGGUGAGUAACACGUGGGAACGUACCCUUUGGUUCGGAAUAACUCAGGGAAACUUGAGCUAAUACCGGAUAAGCCCUUUUGGGGAAAGAUUUAUCGCCGAAGGAUCGGCCCGCGUCCGAUUAGCUAGUUGGUGAGGUAACGGCUCACCAAGGCGAUGAUCGGUAGCUGGUCUGAGAGGAUGACCAGCCACACUGGGACCGAGACACGGCCCAGACUCCUGGGGGAGGAAGCAGUGGGGAAUAUUGGACAAUGGGGGCAACCCUGAGCCGGCCAUGCCGCGUGAGUGAUGAAGGCCCUAGGGUUGUAAAGCUCUUUCGGCGGGGACGAUAAUGACGGUACCCGCAGAAGAAGCCCCGGCUAACUUCGUGCCAGCCGCCGCCGUAA
rnacentral:rRNA from 1 species